GAGCUUGGCUUGCUUAUAGAGCUAGCUGUUCAAUGCUUGUGAGUCUUACGUCUUCAGUGAUCUUCCCACCACUGUGAGAGGCAUCUCCUGGAGUUCCUCCUUGUCCCUCCUGCUGACUCAUGCUAAGGCUGAGGCCUGGAUAUCUGUGUUAGGUCAUGUCAUUGCUGUUGCUAACUCAACUCUACGGAACUGGUAGAUUAGUGAAGUGUUUCCGAGUAGAUUGAACUGUUCCUGCUAACCUGUGAACUGAAUUGUCGAUUUCCAGAAAACAGAGAUGAAGAUUCUCUAUGAUGAUGGUUGAGCAUGGCACUGAUCUUUCAUGCUUCUGAGUCCUCAGAAGAUGGGUAGGUAAAAUAACACAUGAUACGGGAAGGUCAGUUUCUCCAAAUCCACAUGGGAUUUCAAAGAAAACCAUAGAUUGUUUCUUAGGACAAAAUGAAUGAAGUGAAUCAGUCCAUGGUGUCAGAAUUUGUGCUAUUGGGACUUUCCAACUCACAGAAUCUUCAGGUCUUGCUCUUUGUGAUAUUUUUGAUAGUUUAUCUGCUCAUUCUGUCAGGAAAUAUUGUCAUCGUGAUCUUAAUAACCAUUGACCGCCAUCUCCAUUCCCCUAUGUACUUCUUGUUGGCCAACCUGUCCUUUGUUGAUAUAUGGCUUUCCUGUUACCACUCCAAAAAUGGUCACAGAUUUUCUCAGGGAAAACAAGACCAUUUCCUUUGAAGGAUGUAUGUCCCAGGUCUUCUUUGAUCAUUGCAUUGGUGCAGCAGAGAUGGUGCUAUUGCUGGUUAUGGCUUAUGACCGCUAUGUGGCCAUCUGCAAACCUCUCCACUAUUUCACCAUUAUGAACCUGAAAAGAUGCACUGCAUUGGUGUUGAUUUCCUGGACAAUUGGCUUUGUGCAUGCCUUGAGUCAACUUGUACCAGUUCUGCAACUACCUUUCUGUGGUCCAUUGGAAAUAGACAGUUUUUUCUGUGACAUACCAUUGGUAAUCAACCUAGCCUGCAUGGAUUCCCAUCAUUUGGAUACUUUAGUAAAUGCUGAUUGUGGGGUUGUGGUUGUAACUUGCUUUAUUCUGUUGCUUAUAUCUUAUACUUAUAUCCUUAUCACUGUUCAUCAGAGCUCUAAGGCUGGGGCAUCUAAGGCCUUGUCCACGUGCACUGCCCACAUCACUGUGGUGUUGCUCCUUUUUGUGCCCUGUAUUUUCAUCUAUGUUUGGCCCCUCAAUAUCACCUGGUUUGACAAAUUUCUUGCUGUGUUUUAUUCUGUUGUUACACCUCUCCUAAAUCCAGCCAUUUAUACACUGAGAAAUAAAGAUAUAAAACAUUCCCUAAAGAGAUUAAAAAGCUCUUUUAUGAAUCACAAGGUAAAUACUUAAUGCCCAGGAAAUCCACCAUAAAUAUCUUAAGAUAAUAUUUCAAUGAAAUGAGGAGAGUUUAAAAUUUAGGGUAUUUAACUUUCAUGUUCAAUUAGUUCAAAUAUUUUGAUAUAUAAUAGCUUUAAUAUGAUUCUAGAAGUUAAAAGUUUUAUUCUACAGACAACUAAACUACUUCGGAAUAUUUUUCAAAAGCUGAUCCUUCUAUCUGAGAAAAUUAUUGAAUGGUUCAUAAAUGUCUUAAGUAAUAUGGAAUAAACCUAAUUGUAUUUGUCAGGCUCAUAUUUAAUAAUUUUGUAAAAUUUGCUUAUUGUUCUAACAGCACAAUUUUUUGCUACCUUAAAAUAUCACACAAACUUUUUUUUAUGAGGAAAAGUAUUUAUUCAUUGAGAAUUUUAAGCACAAGUAUGAUUCUGUGAGAUCAGGUCCACUCCUCCUUCCCUUGCCAAUGUCUCCUGGGUUUACCCCACAAUCCCCUUUUAAAUUCAUCUCUUCUUGUUUUUAAAAUAUAUAACUUACUGAGUCUAAUUAGUGUUAUUUGCAUGCAUGCAUACUGGAGCAUGAACGGUCUAUCAGUAGGAACCCAUUGAAGGAGAUUUAACGGUUUAUCCCUCAGCAGCCAUCCACUGCCUGUAACUCCUCAAUCAGGAGUUGGUUCUUGUGAGCCUUUCACCCAUCUUUGCUUUUAUUCAUUCUUUUGUAAAAGGACAUCAUUAUCUUUUUUAUUCUACCUUGCUCCAAAAACACUAUAGGGAGAACUUAAAACUCAUGGAAAAUUAAACAAAAUUUAUGAAUGGCACAAUAAAUAGCAAUGGAUAUUAUUUGGUAUUGAUUUUAUUAUUUUAAUAAAAAUAAAUUAUUGUAUA